rnacentral:rRNA from 1 species
UACGUAGGGAGCAAGCGUUGUCCGGAAUCAUUGGGCGUAAAGCGCGUGUAGGCGGCCCGAAAAGUCUGGUGUGAAAUCUUAAGGCUCAACCUUAAGCUGUCACUGGAUACUGUCGGGCUUGAGUCCGGAAGAGGAGAGUGGAAUUCCUGGUGUAGCGGUGGAAUGCGCAGAUAUCAGGAGGAACACCUAUGGCGAAGGCAGCUCUCUGGGACGGUACUGACGCUGAGACGCGAAAGCGUGGGGAGCGAACAGG